AUGAACGCUAGCGACAGGCUUAACACAUGCAAGUCGAGGGGCAGCACAGGUAGCAAUACCGGGUGGCGACCGGCGCACGGGUGAGUAACGCGUAUGCAACUUGCCUAUCAGAGGGGGAUAACCCGGCGAAAGUCGGACUAAUACCGCAUGAAGCAGGGGCCCCGCAUGGGGAUAUUUGCUAAAGAUUCAUCGCUGAUAGAUAGGCAUGCGUUCCAUUAGGCAGUUGGCGGGGUAACGGCCCACCAAACCGACGAUGGAUAGGGGUUCUGAGAGGAAGGUCCCCCACAUUGGUACUGAGACACGGGCCAAACUCCUACGGGAGGCAGCAGUGAGGAAUAUUGGUCAAUGGCCGAGAGGCUGAACCAGCCAAGUCGCGUGAGGGAUGAAGGUUCUAUGGAUCGUAAACCUCUUUUAUAAGGGAAUAAAGUGCGGGACGUGUCCCGUUUUGUAUGUACCUUAUGAAUAAGGAUCGGCUAACUCCGUGCCAGCAGCCGCGGUAAUACGGAGGAUCCGAGCGUUAUCCGGAUUUAUUGGGUUUAAAGGGUGCGUAGGCGGCCUUUUAAGUCAGCGGUGAAAGUCUGUGGCUCAACCAUAGAAUUGCCGUUGAAACUGGGGGGCUUGAGUAUGUUUGAGGCAGGCGGAAUGCGUGGUGUAGCGGUGAAAUGCAUAGAUAUCACGCAGAACCCCGAUUGCGAAGGCAGCCUGCCAAGCCAUUACUGACGCUGAUGCACGAAAGCGUGGGGAUCAAACAGGAUUAGAUACCCUGGUAGUCCACGCAGUAAACGAUGAUCACUAGCUGUUUGCGAUACACUGUAAGCGGCACAGCGAAAGCGUUAAGUGAUCCACCUGGGGAGUACGCCGGCAACGGUGAAACUCAAAGGAAUUGACGGGGGCCCGCACAAGCGGAGGAACAUGUGGUUUAAUUCGAUGAUACGCGAGGAACCUUACCCGGGUUUGAACGCAUUCGGACCGAGGUGGAAACACCUUUUCUAGCAAUAGCCGUUUGCGAGGUGCUGCAUGGUUGUCGUCAGCUCGUGCCGUGAGGUGUCGGCUUAAGUGCCAUAACGAGCGCAACCCUUGCCACUAGUUACUAACAGGUUAGGCUGAGGACUCUGGUGGGACUGCCAGCGUAAGCUGCGAGGAAGGCGGGGAUGACGUCAAAUCAGCACGGCCCUUACAUCCGGGGCGACACACGUGUUACAAUGGCGUGGACAAAGGGAUGCCACCUGGCGACAGGGAGCGAAUCCCCAAACCACGUCUCAGUUCGGAUCGGAGUCUGCAACCCGACUCCGUGAAGCUGGAUUCGCUAGUAAUCGCGCAUCAGCCAUGGCGCGGUGAAUACGUUCCCGGGCCUUGUACACACCGCCCGUCAAGCCAUGGGAGCCGGGGGUACCUGAAGUCCGUAACCGAAAGGAUCGGCCUAGGGUAAAACUGGUGACUGGGGCU
rnacentral:rRNA from 1 species